rnacentral:rRNA from 1 species
UACAGAGGGUGCGGGCGUUAAUCGGAAUUACUGGGCGUAAAGCGCACGUAGUCGGCUUUGCAAGUCGGGUGUGAAAUCCCCGGGCUCAACCUGGGAACUGCAUCCGAGACUGCAUUGCUAGAGUAUGGGAGAGGGAAGCGGAAUUUCUGGUGUAGCAGUGAAAUGCGUAGAUAUCAGAAGGAACAUCAGUGGCGAAGGCGGCUUCCUGGACCAAUACUGACGAUCAGGUGCGAAAGCGUGGGGAGCAAACAGG